GGUGAUGUGUUCCACCUCACUGUCCCCAAUAAAUUCACCUUCGAGGAGGCUGCAAAAGAGUGUGAAAACCAGGACGCCAGGCUGGCAACAGUGGGGGAACUCCAGGCGGCGUGGAGGAACGGCUUUGACCAGUGCGAUUACGGGUGGCUGUCAGAUGCCAGCGUGCGCCACCCUGUGACUGUGGCCAGGGCCCAGUGUGGAGGUGGUCUACUUGGGGUGAGAACCCUGUAUCGUUUUGACAACCAGACAGGCUUCCCUCCCCCUGAUAGCAGAUUUGAUGCCUACUGCUUUAAACGUCGAAUGAGUGAUUUGAGUGUAAUUGGUCAUCCAAUAGAUUCAGAAUCUAAAGAAGAUGAACCUUGUAGUGAAGAAACAGAUCCAGUGCAUGAUCUAAUGGCUGAAAUUUUACCUGAAUUCCCUGACAUAAUUGAAAUAGACCUAUACCACAGUGAAGAAAAUGAAGAAGAAGAAGAAGAGUGUGCAAAUGCUACUGAUGUGACAACCACCCCAUCUGUGCAGUACAUAAAUGGGAAGCA
rnacentral:sRNA from 1 species